GUGUUAGACAGGGGUAGCGCUAGGCGCACCCAGAACCCUUUGUGAACUUAUACCUUACUGUUGCCUCGGCGCAUGCUGGCCCCCUCGGGGGCCCCUCGGAGACGAGGAGCAGGCACGCCGGCGGCCAAGUUAACUCUUGUUUUUACACUGAAACUCUGAGAAAAAACACAAAUGAAUCAAAACUUUCAACAACGGAUCUCUUGGUUCUGGCAUCGAUGAAGAACGCAGCGAAAUGCGAUAAGUAAUGUGAAUUGCAGAAUUCAGUGAAUCAUCGAAUCUUUGAACGCACAUUGCGCCCUCUGGUAUUCCGGAGGGCAUGCCUGUUCGAGCGUCAUUUCAACCCUCAAGCAUUGCUUGGUGUUGGGGCACUGCUUUUUUACCGAAAAGCAGGCCCUGAAAUCUAGUGGCGAGCUCGCCAGGACCCCGAGCGCAGUAGUUAAACCCUCGCUCUGGAAGGCCCUGGCGGUGCCCUGCCGUUAAACCCCCAACUUCUGAAAAUUUGACCUCGGAUCAGGUAGGAAUACCCGCUGAACUUAAGCAUAUCAAAAGGCGGAGGA
rnacentral:rRNA from 1 species